GAUGAACGCUGGCGGCGUGCCUAAUACAUGCAAGUCGAGCGAACAGACGAGGAGCUUGCACCUCUUACGUUAGCGGCGGACGGGUGAGUAACACGUGGAUAACCUACCUAUAAGACUGGGAUAACUUCGGGAAACCGGAGCUAAUACCGCAUAAUAUCUUUAAACGUAAGGUUCAAUAGUGAAAGACGGAUUUGCAUUAACCUAUGGUUGUAUCCCUUCGUAUUUAUCUAGUUGGUAAGGUAACGGCUUACAAAGGCACGGAUGCUUAGCGGCCCUGAGAGGGUGAUCGGCCACACUGGAACUGAGACACGGCCCAGACUCCUACGGGAGGCAGCAGGAGGGAACCUUCCGCAAGGGGCGAAAGCUUGACGGAGCAACGCCGCGUGAGUGAUGAAGGUCUCCGGAUCGUAAAACUCUGUUAUUAGGGAAGAACAAAGGUGGAAUUAACUAUGCACGUCGUGACGGUACCUAAUCAGAAAGCCACGGCUAACUACGUG
rnacentral:rRNA from 1 species